UUUCUUUCUUUCUCUUCCCUUUUCUUGCACCAGAUCCAACUUCUUCCUACUUUUCUUCUCUUCGUUUUCCCUUGUUCCCCCAGCUCAAAACUGAGUGAGAGAGUAAGAUCAAGUGGAAAACAUCUGCCUCCAGCCGCUGGGAAAAGAGCCCAAGUCGAUUUCAACCCCUUCAGCCCUUCUCCCUUCGAAGAAGCCCUUCUGCCGUUGCUAGAAGGGACCUUUUUGUGCGGGUUUUCCUCUAUGAUUCUCAAUUUCGCUCCCUUCUUGGUAUAUUCAAAGUCACCCGUUGGGAUUUUAGCAAGCAACGUGAGUGCUUACAACGUGGGUGCUAGCAAGGAAGGGCUCGCACUAAUCUUCUGGGAUUCCCUUUUCUUUGAUUUGCUCGAGUUGCUGGAAGGGUGCCAAUUUCCGUGUGAACAAAACUGUUGACCCAAACCCGUGGGUAUUGUGCAUCAGUACAUAAGUCAUAUUUCGGAAGCUCAGAUCAGAAAACUUCCUCAAUCAAAGUUGUUCAUCUGCUCGAGUACUAUAGCCAGUAAAAUUUGCAGAAUUUUUUGAAAUUUUCUGAUACCUCAAAGCUGGUUUGCAACUUCUGCAUUCAUCCAUGGCUGGAGUUGUCGUAUGGCCAUGAGAAGAAGUUCUUGCAAGUAUUAGUUGCCGAAGUAUCCAUCUUCAGAAAGACCAAUUCUUAAGUAUGCC